rnacentral:misc_RNA from 1 species
GACAACUUUGGGAAGAUAUUGAUUGUUCAUUCCUAAAAGUUCUCUAUCCGAUCGUUCAACCAUUGAGCAAAGCUGGUCAUGCACAAGCUUUGCCUCAAUUAGAUCACUUCUUAUUGGUAAGCAGCUUAACCAAGCAGGGAAUACCCGUGCUGCAUCUAUACUAUCCCGAUGGAACUGGCAUAUUUUUCCAAGCGCUGAAACAGCAUUGUCAUAUGCCAUAGCAUUGUCCGGAAGAUGUGCACUAGGAUCGCUUAUUACAACAUUCAGCUUAGAAAGGGCCUCCCUAACAAGUGGUUUAAAUGCAGAUCCACCAAACUCU